GAACAGUGUCAUUCUCUGAUCCUGUAACUAACACACAUCUACACACAUUCACAACCUCCUUCACUCACACACUCUUUCCUUUCUUCUGGUGUUAUUAUUCUUCCUCUCUGAGGAUCUUAUCGAUCAAUAGUCAGUAAUCUGUAGCUCUGGAUCUUCCUGCUUUCAUCAUGUUUCAGUAUUUAAUCACAUGAGUAAGAGAUCAGUUACACAGUUAUACUAUUAUUACAGUCAGAUAACAUGAGACACAUCUUAAUAACGACCAUAACCAGAUGCUAGCUGUCAAAUUUGUACGCUUUUAGUCUUUCUGCAAUAUUUCUCUCCCUGAUGGAGGCUGAAUGAGUUUUAAUCUCUUCAGAUAAUAAAGAGUUUCGCUGAAUGCAGUUGGUUGUCUUGUGUUUUUUAAACCUUUUUAAAUGUUGGUAAACAUUCAGAUCAGAAAGUGAAGUGUCCAAGCACAACAUGUCAUGUGACCAUAACCCACAUCAGAGAACCAAUGAACAUGCAGAUGUGAUGCUGCAUUAUUAAAUUAUUAUAAAAUCUCAGGAUACUUCAAAUCAAAACAUAUUAGAUGAGAGAGGAUCAGAUGACAGAAAAACAGUGUGAGUUUAAUGAGUUUGAAAGAAAAGCCUCACAAAGACCC